rnacentral:rRNA from 1 species
UACGGAAGGCAGCAGUGGGGAAUAUUGCACAAUGGGCGCAAGCCUGAUGCAGCCAUGCCGCGUGUAUGAAGAAGGCCUUCGGGUUGUAAAGUACUUUCAGUCGUGAGGAAGGUGUUAAGGUUAAUAACCUUAGCAAUUGACGUUAGCGACAGAAGAAGCACCGGCUAACUCCGUGCCAGCAGCCGCGGUAAUACGGAGGGUGCGAGCGUUAAUCGGAAUUACUGGGCGUAAAGGGCACGCAGGCGGUUAAUUAAGUUGGAUGUGAAAUCCCCGGGCUUAACCUGGGAAUGGCAUUCAAGACUGGUUAGCUAGAGUCUUGUAGAGGGGGUAGAAUUCCAUGUGUAGCGGUGAAAUGCGUAGAGAUGUGGAGGAAUACCGGGUGGCGAAGGCGGCCCCUGGGACAAGGACUGACGCUCAUGUGCGAAAGCGUGGGGAGCAAACAGGAUUAGAUACC